rnacentral:rRNA from 1 species
AUUGUACGCUGGCGGUAUGCUUAACACAUGCAAGUCGAACGGUAGCAGGCCUUCGGGCGCUGACGAGUGGCGGACGGGUGAGUAACGCGUAGGAAUCUGCCUCAUAGUGGGGGACAACGUGUGGAAACGCACACUAAUACCGCAUACGCCCUACGGGGGAAAGCGGGGGACCUUCGGGCCUCGCGCUAUGAGAUGAGCCUGCGUUAGAUUAGCUAGUUGGUAGGGUAAAGGCCUACCAAGGCGACGAUCUAUAGCUGGUCUGAGAGGACGAUCAGCCACACUGGGACUGAGACACGGCCCAGACUCCUACGGGAGGCAGCAGUGGGGAAUAUUGGACAAUGGGCGCAAGCCUGAUCCAGCAAUACCGCGUGUGUGAAGAAGGCCCUAGGGUUGUAAAGCACUUUCAAUAGGGAGGAAAACCUGUCGGUCAAUACCCGGCAGCUUGACAUUACCUAUACAAGAAGCACCGGCUAACUCCGUGCCAGCAGCCGCAGUAAUAC